GGAGCCGCCCAGCCCCGCCCCCUCAGCGGAUUCUCGCCGCUGAUUGGUCGGAGCCGCUCUCUCCCGGCGCUGAUUGGUUGAAGAGCGGGGUCAGGGAGGGGGCGGGGCCAAGCGGCGGUUCCGGACCGGUUCGGGCCCGGUUUGGGACCAGUUUGGACCAGUUUGGGGCAGUUUAGGCCGGUUUGGACCAGUUUAGACCGGUUCGGACCAGUUCGGACCAGUUUUUCCCAGUUCAAACCCUGUUUGGGACGAGUUGGAACCAGUUUAGACCAGUUCUGACCAGUUUAGGCCCGGUUUGGACCAGUUCAGACCAGUUUGGACCAGUUCAGACCAGUUUGGACCGGUUUAGGCGCGGUUCGGGACCAUUUUGGAGCAGUUUGAGCCCAGUUUGGACCAGUACACACCGGUCUGGACCAGUUUGAGCCAUUCUGGACCAGUUUAGGCCCGGGUUGUGACCAGAUUGAACCAGUUCGAACCAGUUUGGACCAGUAUGGACCAGUUUGGGACCAGUUUGGACCAGUUUGGGGUCACUGGGGUCACUGAAAUUCCCAGUUUGGAUUUACUGGGGUCACUGGUUUAACUGGUUUAACUGGGAUCCCAAAUUUGGGGUCACUGGGGUCACUGGGAUCCCCAGUUUGGGGUCACUGGUUUAACUGGGAUCCCAAAUUUGGGGUUACUGGGGUCACUGGGAGCCCUGGAAUUCCCAGUUUGGAUUUACUGGAGUUACUGGGAUCCCUGGAACUCCCAAUUUGGGGUCACUGGGGUCACUGGGAUCCCCAGUUUGGGGUCACUGGGGUCACUGGUUUAACUGGGAUCCCAAAUUUGGGGUCACUGGAGUCACUGGGAGCCCCAGUUUGGGGUUACUGGAGUUAUUGGUUUCACUGGUUUAACUGGGAUCCCCAAUUUGGGGUCACUGGGAUCCCUGGAAUUCCCAGUUUGGGGUCACUGGUUUCACUGGUUUAACUGGGAUCCCCAAUUUGGGGUCACUGGGGUCACUGGGAUUCCCAAUUUGGGGUCACUGGGGUCACUGGGAUCCCCAGUUUGAG
rnacentral:lncRNA from 1 species